GAAAUGCGAUAAUUAAUGUGAAUUGCAGAAUUCAGUGAAUCAUCGAGUCUUUGAACGCACAUUGCGCCCCCUGGUAUUCCGGGGGGCAUGCCUGUCCGAGCGUCAUUGCUGCCCUCAAGCACGGCUUGUGUGUUGGGCUUCCGUCCCUGGCAACGGGGACGGGCCCAUAAGGCAGUGGCGGCACCAUGUCUGGUCCUCGAGCGUAUGGGGCUUUGUCACCCGCUCCCGUAGGUCCAGCUGGCAGCUAGCCUCGCAACCAAUCUUUUUAACCAGGUUGACCUCGGAUCAGGUAGGGAUACCCGCUGAACUUAAGC
rnacentral:misc_RNA from 1 species